rnacentral:rRNA from 1 species
UUAAGUGUAGAUGGCGGAUGCCUUGGCACUUUAUGGCGAUGAAGGACGUGGCGUAGCUGCGAUAAGCUUCGGGGAGGUGUGUAGCAACCUUCGAUCCGGAGAUUUCCGAAUGGGGCAACCUGGCCGAGCAAACCUCGGUCGCUUCGGCACUUGAUGCCGGAGAGCGCACCCAGUGAAGUGAAACAUCUCAGUAACUGGAGGAAAAAAGAACAAAUGUUUAUUCCCUAAGUAGCGGCGAGCGAAACGGGAAGAGCCUAAACCGAGAAAUUAAUUUAUUAAUUUUUCGGGGUUGAAAGAUAUAAACGAUUCUCGAGUUUUGAAAUUUCAAACUUGAGAGGAAAGUUACAAAUCCGUUUGUUAGUAGAAUCCGCUGGAAAGCGGAACCAGAGCAGGUGAUAGUCCUGUAUACGAAAACGAAUGGACUUUCUCGUUUUUUUCUUAAGUACCGCGAGGCCAACUAACCUCGUGGGAAUCCGGGAGUACUAUCUCCUAAGGCUAAAUACAUAAAGUGACCGAUAGUGAACUAGUACCGUGAGGGAAAGGUGAAAAGCAGCCCGGUUAGGGCGGUGAAAUAGUACCUGAAACCAUCUACUUACAAAGAGCAGGAGCCCGUAAGGGUGACUGUGUGCCUAUUGAAGAAUGAGCCAACGAGUUUAUCUACGCGGCAAGGUUAAGCCCUGAAGGGCGAAGCCGCAGCGAAAGCGAGUGUUAAUAGCGCGAAAUUAGUCGCGUGGAUAAGACCCGAAACCAGACGAGCUUGCCCUGGCCAGGAUGAACCCCGAGUAAAAUCGGGGGGAGGUCCGCACCGGUGAGUCGUGCAACGCUCUCGGAUGAGCUGGGGUAAGGAGUGAAAAGCUAAUCGAGUUUGGUAAUAGCUGGUUCUCUCCGAAAUAGUUUUUGGACUAGCCUCACGUGUUUCUUUUUGGAGGUAGAGCACUGGAAGAUGCGAACAGGGCGAAAGCUCGUCGCAUCUAUCAAACUCCGAAUGCCAGAAAGCCAAGCGUGAGAGUCAGACUGUGGGGGCUAAGCUCCAUGGUCGCGAGGGAAAAAGCCCAGAUCGCCGUCUAAGGUCCCUAAGUGCAUGCUAAGUGUAAAAGGCAGUGAUUAUCCAUUAACAGGUAGGAGGUUGGCUUAGAGGUAGCCAUCCUUUAAAGAGUGUGUAACAACUCACUAUUCGAGGAUGAUUGCGCCGAAAAUUUAUCGGGGCUAAGCAUGUCACCGAAGACGCGAAUUUGUCUUUCUUUCGAGAAAGAUGAGUGGUAGGAGAGCAUUCCCUGCUGCACUGAAGGCGGACUCGAGAGAGCCGCUGGAGCGCAGGGAAGAGAGAAUGUUGGCAUGAGUAAUCACAAAGCUGGUGAAAAUCUAGCUCCCCGAAAAUCCAAGGUUUCCUCCGCAACGGAAAUCGACGGAGGGUUAGGCGGUCCUAAGGCGAUGGCGAAAGCCGCAGUCGAAGGAUAGCCGGUUAAUAUUCCGGCCCGCCGCACGUGGGAUACCGACGGGAAUACGAAGGAAAUAAAUCCGAGCGUCUUAAUGGUUUGACGUUUUUGGCGCGAAGAAUUGCACUCCAGGCAAAUCCGGAGUGCUGCCGUUAAAUCGGCGAAUUUCGCGCGUUGAAGAAAGGUACGGUUUUACCGUGCCGAUUCGGACGAAGAGCCUUCCGAGAAAUAUCUCUAAGGUGCAUAUGUGCGGCUCCGUACCGUAAACCGCCACAGGUGGAUAGGGCGAGUAGCCCAAGGGGAACGAGUGAAUCCUCGUUAAGGAACUCGGCAAAAAAGCGGCCGUAACUUCGGGAUAAGGCCUGCCCACAGCAAUGUGGGCCGCAGCUAAAGUAUCUCUGGCGACUGUUUACCAAAAACACAGCUCCCUGCGAACUGUGUCUUGUAGCAAUACGAGAUGCGGAGUGCCCGAAGCCCUCGUCAAUGUCAGCGAUAACUAUAAUCGUUCUAAGGUGAUUGCAUUGCCUUAGUAAAAUCUCGCUGUAUGCUGGAACAUCUGGAGUAUCCGACGCUACUAUGGUAAAAUACGUCCAUAGAUGGAAAACCGUAGUAAAAAUGCGAUCGGUGCAGACAAUCAGCAGGAAAGACUGAGAACAUCGUGUUGGAUUUCUGGAUUUACCGAUGGUGAAGGUUGUUUCACUGUUUCGGUAAUCAAAAAUCCCACCACACGCUUUGGUAAGCAAAUUUUCCCGGAAUUCGUCAUAACGCAAGGAGCGAAAAGUCUUAUGAUAUUGCAUAAGAUAAGAGAUUAUCUCAAUUGUGGUUCUGUCGUCCGUAAUAGGCGAUACGAUAAUCACAAUGAAGAUAUCUAUCGCUAUUGCGUGCGAAGAAUUUCGGAUCUGCAAACGAAAGUCAUACCUUUCUUCAACGAAUUUCCUCUUCGCACUCAUAAAUACAGAGACUUUCUCAUCUUUGAGAGAGUUGUAGGAAUGAUGGCGGAGAAGAAACAUCUUACCGAUAAAGGCUGGGGGGAGAAGAUAUAGUCCGAACUGCAUGGCGACAUGCAGAGAUAAACAGAAAUGUUUAUCCGGAAUUCUAAAUUCUCGUAACAUAAUUGAGCGCAAUUCCUUUCCGGGUAAGUUCCGGAGCGCACGAAAGGCGUAACGACUGGAGAACUGUCUCAACGAGGAGCUCGAUGAAAAUGCGAUACCCGUGAAGACGCGGGUUACCGGCAGCAAGACGAAAAGACCCCGGAAGCUUUACUGUAGCUUGGUAUUGAUAUUAAGGUCUUAAUGCGUAGCGUAGUGGGUAGGCUUUGAAGUUCGCCUUUUGGGGCGGAUGGAGCCGCCAAUGAAACACCCAUCUUUAAAAUUUUAAUGUCUAACCUGCACGGCAAAAA